GACUUAAAAAUCAUGCUCAAUAGGAUUACGCUGAGGCCC
rnacentral:snoRNA from 13 species